UACGUAGGUGGCAAGCGUUGUCCGGAUUUAUUGGGUUUAAAGGGUGCGUAGGCGGCCCUGUAAGUCAGUGCUGAAAUAUCCCAGCUUAACCGGGAGGGUGGCAUUGAUACUGCGGGGCUAGAGUACAGAUGAGGUAGGCGGAAUUGACGGUGUAGCGGUGAAAUGCUUAGAUAUCGUCAAGAACACCUAUAGCGAAGGCAGCUUACUAGGCUGUAACUGACGCUGAGGCACGAAAGUGUGGGGAUCAAACAGG
rnacentral:rRNA from 1 species